GCGGGUUUAGCUCAGUUGGGAGAGCGUCAGACUGAAGUCAAACUUCUUUCAAUCAUCAUCAUCAUCAUCAUCAUCAUCAUCAUCAUCAAAUCUGAAGGUCAUGUGUUCGAUCCACAUAAACCGCA